rnacentral:rRNA from 1 species
AUUGAACGCUGGCGGCAGGCUUAACACAUGCAAGUCGAGCGGGGGAAGGUAGCUUGCUACUGGACCUAGCGGCGGACGGGUGAGUAAUGCUUAGGAAUCUGCCUAUUAGUGGGGGACAACAUCUCGAAAGGGAUGCUAAUACCGCAUACGUCCUACGGGAGAAAGCAGGGGAUCUUCGGACCUUGCGCUAAUAGAUGAGCCUAAGUCGGAUUAGCUAGUUGGUGGGGUAAAGGCCUACCAAGGCGACGAUCUGUAGCGGGUCUGAGAGGAUGAUCCGCCACACUGGGACUGGAAAACGGCCCAGACUCCUACGGGAGGCAGCAGUGGGGAAUAUUGGACAAUGGGGGGAACCCUGAUCCAGCCAUGCCGCGUGUGUGAAGAAGGCCUUAUGGUUGUAAAGCACUUUAAGUGAGGAGGAGGCUACUUUAGUUAAUACCUAGAGAUAGUGGACGUUACUCGCAGAAUAAGCACCGGCUAACUCUGUGCCAGCCGCCGCUGUAA